AUUGAACGCUGGCGGCAGGCCUAACACAUGCAGGUCGAGCGGAUGAAGGGAGCUUGCUCCUGGAUUCAGCGGCGGACGGGUGAGUAAUGCCUAGGAAUCUGCCUGGUAGUGGGGGAUAACGUCCGGAAACGGGCGCUAAUACCGCAUACGUCCUGAGGGGGAAAGUGGGGGAUCUUCGGACCUCACGCUAUCAGAUGAGCCUAGGUCGGAUUAGCUAGUUGGUGGGGUAAAGGCCUACCAAGGCGACGAUCCGUAACUGGUCUGAGAGGAUGAUCAGUCACACUGGAACUGAGACACGGUCCAGACUCCUACGGGAGGCAGCAGUGGGGAAUAUUGGACAAUGGGCGAAAGCCUGAUCCAGCCAUGCCGCGUGUGUGAAGAAGGUCUUCGGAUUGUAAAGCACUUUAAGUUGGGAGGAAGGGCAGUAAGUUAAUACCUUGCUGUUUUGACGUUACCAACAGAAUAAGCACCGGCUAACUUCGUG
rnacentral:rRNA from 1 species